rnacentral:snoRNA from 1 species
GGGUGGAUGAUGAUAACCUUAUAUUGUUUUGAAGAGAGGUGAUGACUUAAAAAUCAUGCUCAGGCCUGCUGAGGCCC